rnacentral:piRNA from 1 species
UGGCACUCCAGACCUGGGUGAUGUGCA